rnacentral:sRNA from 1 species
GUAGUGCGUGCGCGGGGCAUGCCGGGAGUGGUUGUGUACGGUCGGCAGCAGCAGGUGAAGUCUAGCAGAGGACGCGGCCAGGCGAUUCGGUGAAGCGCUUACUGCAGGCGUUGGUUCCCCUCUUUGUCCUGGUACAAAGAAUUUUACGUGAAAGAUUUUGUCAUCAGAGUCCACAUAGUAACCUAUUUGGAGUGCAAGUACAAUACAAACACUUAAGUGAGCUGCUGAAAAGAACCGCUCUCCAUGGAGAGAGUAACUCUGUCCUUAUUAUCGGACCCCGAGGAUCAGGAAAAACUAUGUUAAUAAAUCAUGCUUUGAAAGAACUCAUGGAAAUAGAAGAAGUGAGUGAAAAUGUAUUACAAGUUCACUUAAAUGGACUGCUGCAGAUCAAUGACAAAAUCGCCCUAAAGGAAAUCACAAGGCAGUUAAAUCUGGAAAAUGUAGUUGGAGAUAAAGUUUUUGGAAGCUUUGCUGAAAACCUUUCAUUUCUUCUGGAAGCUUUAAAAAAAGGUGACCGAACUAGCAGUUGCCCAGUGGUCUUCAUAUUAGAUGAAUUUGAUCUU